CACAGUUUGACGCUGGUUUGUCCUUCAAGUCUGGUAAAAGCUUCAGAAAUCACAUAACCCGUCAAGUGCACUUGCACUUGGACAGACAGAGUAACAGAAAACCACCACCUUUGGUGCGCUGUGCCUGGGAUUCACCACCUCACACUCCUGGACAAUGAGAGCCAGCCAACGACAGAGUUUUUUUCUUUAAAAAAAAAAAUUGAACAGGGUCCAAACAGUGGAGGAAGCAGGAGAUGCUGACACAAUGUACGGCAGGGAGGACGAGGGGAGGCAUGGCAGAUCCUCCCUCCAUCACUCAUCACCGGAGAAAAUGAGGAAGACUUGGACACAAAGACGUGAGGCGUGAAGAGAAGAGGAGAGCAGCCGUGCAGAUAAUUAUCAGGGUGUUAUCCCGACACAAUGGAGCUGACGGACAGAGUCUCAUCUCGUCGGCUGCAGGAGGAUGAUGAAUCACUGGCCGCAGCACGUCUGCCAAACGUAGAAAAAUAGAUGCUAUUUAAGUCAUGAAUGCAAUUUUGCCUGCGAUCCAUUUACUCACCUACAUUCUCCUGUGAUUACACUAAAACACACACGUUUUUUCCCGCUUAAUCGAGUUGUUGGAAUUAUUGUGUGCUAACCUCCAGUAGCCCAUUCCUUCACACGUACACACACACAUACACACAGCACAGAGCCCGUGUUGUGAUUUAAAUGGUCGCAGGGCACUGAGCUCCUGUUUGCUUCACCUAUUCCCGGGGUGUUUGUUUGGCUUCAUGCAUACUGUGCUGUAAUAGAGCACAGUGAGGCUUCAAAAGCGGUCUGUUAACACACACACCAGACUGCCCUGUAAAAAACACAGGCUCUCUGAGCGGCUACAUGCAAUAUUCACUUGCUGUACAUGCAGCCAUUUUUGCGUAGGUGUGGACAGACAAGAAGAAAGAUGGAACAUUUUUUAUAGCCAUCAAGUUGCCCAUUAAGACUCUUGGGCAUUUUGAAUUAGUUCUGAUUCUUUUUACAAGCUCCCUGUAACGUCAGAUUUGGAAGGAAAAGAAGGUGAGAGAAAUAGAUGGAGGAAAAAGGACAAUAAGACAACCCUUCCCUGUUGAAAAUCUGUUCUUUUUUUUUGUCGACUGCUGGACAAUGAGAUUUUUCAAGUGCAGCUGUGCUUCCCAAUUAAACAGCCUGUUCCCAUCGCA
ensembl:lncRNA